GUUGCACGCGAAUAAUCUACAACGCGAUCAGCGCCGUCGAUGACACGCAGUCGCAAUAACAACACAACAUAAUAGAUGUGCAUUUACUCGCAUUUCCUGCCGCGUUACUCCUUGGACCGUUUGCAAACGUGUGCCGUGAGGCGUGCGUAGCGGAGGGGUGUGUCUACUCUGCAGUACGGUGGUAGGCUGGGAACCAAUGCCGCCGCAUGGUGAUGUUGCCAUACAUUUGCAAUGCAUGAGAGGAGGCCGAGUAUGCUCAAAAGUGGACGGCGACGCCAUUGCGCCGCGCGAUCGCAACGGGCGAGUGUUUUUUUCGCAUCACCAUUUACUCUGCUCUUCUACGAAACGACCUCAUUUUGCGGCCGCUCGCGUAGACGCCGCGUGUUCGUUCCAUGCGCACGUAGCAGGUCUGGUAUGUGGCGCUAGGGCCAGCGGAAGGGGCCUGGGUGAAGGUCAGGGGCGUGUCCAUAAUGUAAACACAGUAAAGACGACAAAUACCGAGGGGAGAGGGAAAGAGAGACGGGGAGGGCCUCAUCCGCUCCCAUGUGUUCUAGUUGUGAACUCCCACUGCACGCGGGCUGAAAAGGAUGAGCUGCACAGACUGCAAAGUGAAUUCACACCGUGACUUUGCCAGUUAUGAGAUACAAACACAGAUAAGAGCUGAUAAGAUAACACAUGUUUGAUAUUUAAGUUUUGCAAGAAAUCACUGGAAUCAGCAGCGCAUUAAGGGGCUUCAAACGCUAUUGGUCGAUAGAGCAAAUGACAGUGAGCACCACAAACGUGGAGGCGGCGGCCAUUGUUUAUCAGCGCCAACCUUUUUCACAAACUUCAAGAGCUGUGAAUCUGCGCCGUCCCUGCUUUUAAUAAAUGCGCCGGUAUUGUGCCGCACUGAUCUAACCGAUAGAACCAUGGAGCUACUGGACGUUAUUCACUGCCGUGCUUUCCAAACCCUCGGCCAGCGCUGCCUUGUCUCCAAAGUGACAUGAACGCUCGCAACAAACAUUCCCCAAAUAUUCCGCUGCAUUCCACGUCAGACCGUUUCUACAUGUCGUAGCCGCCAUGUGGCUAAAGAGAACAGGCCACGCGAGCAAUUGGGGCCGUAGCAUAAAACCCAUGUGUGGAGGCGCACCAGCUGCAAACUUAUUUGUGCUAGUUUUGCAUUAUGCCUCACCCCCCCCCCCCCUCGCAUUUAAAGCAAAGCAGCACCCAAGCAGUGUGUCAUAAUCUUAUUAACUGUUGAUUCAUGUCGAGUAACAGGUAGUAAAGUGUGUGGGUGUUAGGUCCAUGCUCACGGAGAGUUGAUCCUUGUCCUGUGGCUUGGGUGCUUUCCAAGUCUGGCACCAGCGCUGGAUCGAGCCGUCCACUAACAGGAUUUGUUUGGCUCCACAGCACCCAUGUCAGACAUGUAUUCUGGCCGAGCCAUUUUGUGUCCUCAGAUGCUCCGGCCCUUCACGGCGAGCUGGCGUGCACUUUGGAAAGUAGCACAGUGGAAAUCAUAAAUCAGAAGCACUUGACCCACUAAAAUUAUGGGAAUUAGUAUUUGUGGCAGUUGUGCAGGAACAUAAAUAACCCGAAUAGAGAGCUCGUACUGAGAAAGCUGUGGUCCUAAGAGCGGCCUGCUGUGCUGCACGCACGCACGCACACACGCACACACACACACACACACUAUGCAAUGUAUAUCUGACAGACAUACACAUGUUACAUCUGCAAUAAAGUAGCUGCAGAUGCGGAGUAUGCAUGUGGUUCAUUGUGUUAACAAAAUGUUAAUGUACAGUUUUUUUCAGAAGACAGUAAAAUACUCUGAGGACAAUUACUGAGCACGUCGUGCACGCGUCCUGAGGAUUCCAGUUCAAACCAACCAGCUCGCGUCGCGUCCGGAGCCGCUGUGAACGCAGCCCUCGCGCGCUGCAACCCACUCAGGCACCUGACAGCACGUCUGGCCACAUUGUGAAAGCAUGUGCCGAUCAGCUGGCAGAUGGACACGCUCGCUGUGUGCGCGCUCCAUUUUGCGUCGGCGCAGCACGAGGCUACGUGCGUUCCGUUGUUCGCUGCAUCGCCGGACAGCGGUGCAGCCUCUGUGGUGAAAUACGGUCUCAGUUUCUAACUUGUGAGGAUGCCGGCGCAUUGAACUCACGCCGCCGUAACAUUGACAUACGUAACUGCACCGCAUUUGUUUUUAUUCCCUCCACAUUGAAGCUCAGCACCGAGCCGGAGCAGCUGAACUGUAGAGUUUGCUGACAGAUCGCUGCUUAUGAAGACGGGCACUUCCUCCGUUUUUUUUCACUUCUUCACUGCAGACAGCCAAGACUGCGUGCUGAUCCCGUGCCAGUACUCUCUGAUCACACAUUAGUGUGCGGCACAGCCACAGACACAUUUGCUUUGUGAAUCACACCAGAUUCAUCAACAAAACAGCUCACUGAGUUUUCAUCAAGGAGGGAAAGUACAAUUAUUUUUUACUGUGCAAAUUAUAAAGGUCUGUAUUAGUAUAGUGGUAUAUUUGUUUUUGUGUAAGACAGUUACACACAUUAUAUAUUAUUUACAUUUUAAUAUAAAUUCAUACAAACAAAGCAGCUAGACCCUUUAAUCUAAUGCCAGGACAAAUAAUUCAAGGAGAUGAUUAUGGAUGUUGAGAAGUAGCAAAGCGAAGGAACCACCCUCAAGCUCAUCAAUAUGCCUCGAGGACGGGGAGUCAGCACUUUUAAGUUUCAUUGGCUCGGCAAUACGGAGCAAUGUUAACAUUCAGCAUGGCUCCACUGAUCCUAACAAUGUUCCAGGGCUGCAUCGCGCGUAUAUGAAGCAGCUGCGUCACCGUGUGGUGUCCAGUCGUCCUGUCACCCUGGACUAGAAGGCUGUGCAGCAGGCGACACUGAGAAAUCAUAAACUUCACGCAAUACAACUUUCCUCCGGAGACUACGGAGAAGACACGGGUCAUUAAACGCCCUCUGGCUCCAUCUUCUGGGGAGACGAGGGACAACACGACCUCCCACGACGGCGUUCUCAACUCUCAACUCAACUGUAUGUUUAAAGCACAUUAAACAUAGUUGGCCAAAGUGCUGCACACGGGCAAAACCAUCAACGAGCUAUUUAGUUAAAAGGAGCAAACACACAAAAUAAAUGUAAAACAAGGUAAAUAAAAAAACGACGACACGUACGUGUUUGUUUACUACACCGGAGCCCAGUUUGGACAGAAGAAGGCGAUCAUGAACACGUAAAUGGCUGAUAGCACAUCUAUAUUACAUACACUUAUAAUUGUAUUCAUACUUGUUUAUUUGCAACAAAUAAUUUUACCUGUGAUGUAAUUCGACCUUUAUUUUGAAAACAGGGCUUUUAUUUUGUACGCUGAAGCGUACAACUAGAGGUUAGCUAGCAGUAGCACUAAUGUUGGCUAUAAAUGACGCUUCACCAAACCACGUUGGUUUUUCAUCGGAUAAUUUAAUUACAGCAUGUCAGAUAAUGGUGAUCUUCUAUGCAUAGAUGUAGACUGUGUAAUGUUCGUAAGAGUGCUUGACUUGACGCUGGUGUGUCUCAACGCAUAGGCUACAGCGACUUACAUUAGCCCAUCGGAGUAAGCUAGGUUAGCUGUAUUUAGCUAACUAGUAUUGCCGACACGGGUACGUGGCAAUAGUUUAGUGUUUAUCAAAUGUAAUAGUGUGACAAAAAACAGAUACAUAAAAAACACACAUGACAACUACUUAAAUACAAUAAUACAGUAGUAUUGCGUAAACGAUAAAUUCUGUAGUGUGGGUUUCAUACGUAUGCCCGGUCCCAUGGUGUAAUGGUUAGCACUCUGGACUUUGAAUCCAGCGAUCCGAGUUCAAAUCUCGGUGGGACCUCGUCCUUUUACGUUCUAAAACGUUACACGUUACGUGUUCCUCCUUUUAUAUUUUUUAAAUAAAUCAAGUACAAACGCAAAGUGUGUGUCAUAUGUAAAAUCAAUUAUUUAUAAAUUCAUUUACAUUUCGCUACUAUUUGCAAUUAAAAUAAUUGCAAUUAAAAUAUUUGAAAAUUAAGCAUUUGUUCAUCAAUAAUAUAUAAAGCAAUAUAUUUAGCAUCUGACUAUAAAUCAUGAAGCAUACACUUAUUUUUGGUGUGAUUUUUUUAUUGAAAUGUCAAAUGACAUAUUUCAUUCUUUCCUAUCCACCUCAAAGACCAAAAUAUAUUACUUCUUUUUCCAUUAUGAAAAAUAAUAAUAUGUUGAAGUUGUCUAAAUAUUGUCUCAGUUUAUAGAAAACAUACUAAUUACAAACAAACAAGUAGUAACAAAACAUUAACCUUUAAAAUAGUUUUAAACAAAAAUGAAGUCUUUGGCUUCAAGUGGAAGAGAGUUAACUUAAGGUGUUGCCAGAAAUAUGAUUGGUAUUGGUAAAUAAUAUUAAUAGCUGAGUGAUAGUUAAAUAGAGUGUUAGUGUAAAGAAAAUCAUAUAUUAAUCAAAUAUCUACACUGGCUGUAUUUGUAGAUGAGAACUACAUGAUAGUUUUAGUUGCAUAUG